rnacentral:rRNA from 1 species
CGGGUGCACUGAUCCAGCCGGGCCUUUCCCUCUGUGGAACCCCAUGGCCUUCACAGGCUGUGGUGGGGAAACAGGACUUUUACUUUGAAAAAAUUAGAGUGCUCCAGGCAGGCCUAUGCUCGAAUACAUUAGCAUGGAAUAAUAGAAUAGGACGUGUGGUUCUAUUUUGUUGGUUUCUAGGACCGCCGUAAUGAUUAAUAGGGACAGUCGGGGGCAUCAGUAUUCAAUUGUCAGAGGUGAAAUUCUUGGAUCUAUUGAAGACUAACUACUGCGAAAGCAUUUGCCAAGGAUGUUUUCAUUGAUAAGGAACGAAAGUUAGGGGAUCGAAGACGAUCAGAUACCGUCGUAGUCUUAACUAUAAACUAUGCCGACUAGGGAUCGGACGAUGUUAUUCUUUGACGCGUUCGGCACCUUUCGAGAAAUCAAAGUGCUUGGGCUCCAGGGGGAGUAUGGUCGCAAGGCUGAAACUUAAAGAAAUUGACGGAAGGGCACCACCAGGGGUGGAACCUGCGGCUUAAUUUGACUCAACACGGGGAAACUCACCAGGUCCAGACACAGUGAGGGUUGACAGAUUGAGAGCUCUUUCUUGAUUCUGUGGGUGGUGGUGCAUGGCCGUUCUUAGUUGGUGGAGUGAUUUGUCUGCUUAAUUGCGAUAACGAACGAGACCUUAACCUGCUAAAUAGCCCGUACUGCUUUGGCAGUUCGCCGGCUUCUUAGAGGGACUAUCGG